GAUGAACGCUGGCGGCGUGCUUAACACAUGCAAGUCGAACGAAACUUAUUGGAUUGAAGUCUUCGGAAUGAUUGAAGAUAAGUUUAGUGGCGGACGGGUGAGUAACGCGUGGAUAACCUGCCUUACACUGGGGGACAACAGUUGGAAACGACUGCUAAUACCGCAUAAGCGCACAGUACCUCAUGGUACAGUGUGAAAAACUCCGGUGGUGUAAGAUGGAUCCGCGUCUGAUUAGCUAGUUGGUGGGGUAACGGCCUACCAAGGCGACGAUCAGUAGCCGGCCUGAGAGGGUGAACGGCCACAUUGGGACUGAGACACGGCCCAGACUCCUACGGGAGGCAGCAGUGGGGAAUAUUGCACAAUGGAGGAAACUCUGAUGCAGCGACGCCGCGUGAGCGAAGAAGUAUUUCGGUAUGUAAAGCUCUAUCAGCAAGGAAGAUAAUGACGGUACUUGACUAAGAAGCCCCGGCUAACUACGUG
rnacentral:rRNA from 1 species